GAUGAACGCUGGCGGCGUGCCUAAUACAUGCAAGUCGAGCGAACGGACGAGAAGCUUGCUUCUCUGAUGUUAGCGGCGGACGGGUGAGUAACACGUGGAUAACCUACCUAUAAGACUGGGAUAACUUCGGGAAACCGGAGCUAAUACCGGAUAAUAUUUUGAACCGCAUGGUUCAAAAGUGAAAGACGGUCUUGCUGUCACUUAUAGAUGGAUCCGCGCUGCAUUAGCUAGUUGGUAAGGUAACGGCUUACCAAGGCAACGAUGCAUAGCCGACCUGAGAGGGUGAUCGGCCACACUGGAACUGAGACACGGUCCAGACCCCUACGGGAGGCAGCAGUAGGGAAUCUUCCGCAAUGGGCGAAAGCCUGACGGAGCAACGCCGCGUGAGUGAUGAAGGUCUUCGGAUCGUAAAACUCUGUUAUUAGGGAAGAGCAUAUGUGUAAGUAACUGUGCACAUCUUGACGGUACCUAAUCAGAAAGCCACGGCUAACUACGUG
rnacentral:rRNA from 1 species